GCAAUGAUGAACAAUAUGGUUUUGAUGGCAAGGCUGAAAGAACAUACCAAACCUCUAAGAAGUUCUGAGCUG